rnacentral:misc_RNA from 1 species
AAAAAAACUACCAUCCCUUUCCAUUUUACAUUUUCCUCUACUAUGUUAUGUCAUGACUGCAUUAGUGGUUUAAUCUGUUACCUAAGUAUAAAAAUAGCAACCUGCCAAAUAGUCGAAUGGUUCAGGAAAGAAGACUUUAUGUUGAGUCCACGAGUGAUGCAUUUAUAUUUGCAAUGUUGUUUGUUUUAUCUGUCUCUAGGUUUCAAUUUUUUUUGGGUGGGGGUUCAAAUUAAUUGUGGUUUCACACAUUUUUCUAAUGCCAUGUUUGAACAGAUCUCAUGUAUAUUGGAUUUGUGUUCCAGCUCCAAAUACUUGUCAAGAACAGAAAUCACUGCAAUAAGUUGUGAGUAGUAAAAAAAGGGACAAUGCUUAAGUUGCAUGAAAACUAGAUGAGUAUAGGUGAAGCAAUGCAUGUGUUAGAUGCUACUAGUUGCUA